CACUGUCUAUUUUUGCUGAGAACCGCGCGCGUGACGCGGAAAAAACUAGACAAGACCCCAAAUCUCUAGAUGAUGCGCGCACAGACCGCAUGAGACGCACGUGCGGGUUAGAAGGAUACAUACCGCAGGAGGUUAAUGACCCCAAAUACACCUCAAACCAUUGCAAGAACUACUUUAAGACCAAAGAAGACCAAGGAGUCCUGACUGCCAUGGGCUUUCCUCCACAGUCACCUGACCUCAACCCCAGUGAACAUUUAUGGGGACACUUGCACAAGACAUCACAAGAAGCUCUUUGGAACAUUGUCAAGUCAUGCUGGGAUAACAGGGCUCAUCAGGUUUUGCACAAACUUGUGGAGUCCAUGCCAGCUCAAGUGCAUGCUGCCAUUAAAGCAAAAGGGGGACAAACCAAAUACUAAGCCUGAUCAAAGGUCUAAUGAGGCAAGAUACCUGAAAACACUGGUGUGAAUGUGCAGGGCCUUUAACUUCUGAAUGGUAAACAGGAAUCUACCAGCAGUGAAGGCGACUCCUUCCCUUUGGACAUUUUCAGACUGCUGGGAAAUGUCCUGUUCCCUAUAACAUCUCCUGGGAAGUAAAAUAUGGAAGUGAGUGAUGUGACACACACAGUAUAGUAACUGUAGUAAUAUAGUCCAUGUUUAGACCUGUUUAGUCUUCUGAAAUGUGUAAAUUACUUAUGUUUCCUUGCAAAAUGUUUCCUUCUUACUUGCAGAAUCUAUUUUAUUUGUAGUGGAAUUUUUGUGCAUAUAUUCAAUUUAUUUUUAACCAUUUAUCAUGUCUAUUGCAUGAAGGAAGGAAAUGUAGGGUGGAAAAUGUUACCAAACUACAGCUGACAGUUUUAGGUCAAUAAUAAUUAAUCAGGGAUAUUAUGGCACAUGCUGAAUUGUAAGGAAAGAACUUGGUCUCACGAAUGAAGAAUUUAAGAUGAUCUCAUUUGUGUAUUCAAAGAUGCAAAAAUUUAAUUUCAGUGAAUGAUGCUACUUAAAAAGUAGAUUUUGGUGCAAGCUGAAUGUUAAACAAGCAGGUUUGCACUGAAAUACUAUAAAACGUAAGGUAAACAAGUUACUGAUAUGUGCACUUGAAAUAAAGUUCAUUAAAUGCAUGUAGGCCAAGGACUGAGGGAAACCAAUAUUGA